CGUGCACAGAUUGCUCAAGAUUCAGCGGGACUUGGCAAGGACCUUUUUGCUUCCCAGAGACUCAAUGACAGGCCUGGAGAAGCUGGUGGUGAAUGGAUAAAGAACCUCUCUUGAGAACUGGGAUCCAUGGCCUAACUGGUAUGCUGUAAGAGUCAACAGCAAAGCUCCACUGGCUUCACUCUUGCACUGCUGAACACAAAUAAGGAGAUGCUGGAAGGGGAAAAGGAGUGACACCCAAGAUCAUGGACACCAUCAGCUGUCACCAGGAGGAGAGGCUGAGCCCCAGCUUUGCCCAGGACGGGAUGUCCUGGACUGUUGUGGGACUUCCUGACCUCAGCUGGUUUCCACAAAGUGUCUGCAGUCAAUGGAGUCAGUAUUUCCACAGCAGAGCAGCACCAGCUUCUCAGCAAACACAUCUGGUCCCAUGCUUGUGGCAGUGGCAAUGGUGUAUGCUUCCAGAGAAGUUGCUUUCAUCAUUUCAAAGUUUUUCAUCCAUGUAUCAUAAUAGAUGUGUCUCCAUUGCAUGGCAGAUGUUUUUCCCACUUUGUGUUGCAAUCCUAGUUAUCCAGCCCAACAGACCUGCUGGGACACAGCACAUGUCUCUCUUUCCUUUCUCAGGCAGAUGGGUUACCCUCCGAUAGAGAGGUGGUGCUUUGCACGAUCCCUUGCAACAUGCAUGCCACCAGGGUGAGACUGGAGGGUGCAGCUGCACCCUGGACCUGGGAGGUCAGACGUACCCAUGCUAUUUCCAU